AUUGAACGCUAGCGGCAUGCCUUACACAUGCAAGUCGAACGGAGUGGCGAACGGGUGCGUAAUGUAUCGGAACGUGCCCAGUAGCGGGGGAUAACUACGCGAAAGCGUAGCUAAUACCGCAUACUAUUGGAGCCGCCUAUAUCGGAUUAGCUAGUUGGUGGGGUAACGGCUCACCAAGGCGACGAUCCGUAGCUGGUUUGAGAGGACGACCAGCCACACUGGAACUGAGACACGGCCCAGACUCCUACGGGAGGCAGCAGUGGGGAAUUUUGGACAAUGGGGGAAAGCCUGAUCCAGCCAUCCCGCGUGUACGAUGAAGGCCUUCGGGUUGUAAAGCACUUUUAGCAGGAAGGCGGUACCCGCAGAAGAAGCACCGGCUAACUCCGUGCCAGCAGCCGCGGUAAUUC
rnacentral:rRNA from 1 species